AAAUGCUUUGUAAGCCCAUAUAUGUUUGCAACCCUACAGGCUUGAAUCAAAAUCAUCUUGGUCCACAACUGAACCCAAUAUAAAAUUUCUACUCGCAGUGUUUUUUUUUUUUUCAUGCUUCUUUUUUCUUUAAAAAAAACAAUCAUUUUAUAAAAUAAAAAACAAAUAUUAAAUAAAACAAUUAGGUUGAAUACGGUCCAAGUAAUCAUCGACCGGAUGUGACGAUAAUGGAAUUUACAAGUUAGUUAACGGAAAAACAGGAAUUUUGAGAGAAAUUAUUUAUUUUUGUUGAAUUAAAUAUAAGUAUUAUAAGGCAAAAAAAAAAGGGGAUUUGUACAGUCUGUGAAAACCCUAGAGCAGUGAAAUGGGUAACCAUAAAUAACAAAAUAGUCACAUGCUUUGAAGGACACAUCUGGACAACCCUCCAUCUGAAUAGAUCUAUUGCUGCUUUGCUUCGUAAAUCAUAGCCGAAGGAGAUGGCCAUGGACACUGAUGGAAUCAUGACUUUGGACCGGUCCAUGGAGAAGAACCCACAAGUGCAUGCAACACGAAACAAAACUCUAAUAGCAUGCAGCGGUGUCUGCUGUGAUUUUGCAAGGUGAUAGAGCCAUUAGGCCAUGGUGUGGUGUUAAUUACAAUGCCAUCUAAAAAAAACCCUAGCAAAUG